rnacentral:tRNA from 1 species
GUUGCACGGAGUCGGUCAGACGAGAAACAAAAGUGCAACUAAGCCUGUAGAGGUCUCAGGACGAAUGUCUCGGACGCGGGUUCAACUCCCGCCAUCUCCA